rnacentral:misc_RNA from 1 species
GUUAUCAGUGCCAGUUGUUGUUGUCGAGUUAAAAAAAGUUUAAACAUUUUACUUUCUACUUGAUCGUGUCAGUUAAGGCGUUCGAAAUUAAAGUCUAAACCGGAAUCAGUAAAUGGUAUACUAAACAAGAUCCACAUCCUGUGGUAUGGGCUUCUAUUGCUAUAUCACGUUGGCACUAACAACAGUAACAUGGAUUGCAGUCGUACAGAAGAGGAGCAAGCAGCAAGAACAUUUCUACGGGAACGUUUUUUGCGCAUGUUAACUGCUGUCACCAACAGUGAGGCUGUGUUCCAUCUACACCACAACACUGUUACAAGCGCUGUUUUCAAGAAGACAGACAUUGAUUUGGAAACAUUCCAUGUGUCGAAUUUAGUAACGCCGAUUGGGGUACAAACAGAAGCACUGCUCAGAGGAACAGAUAUAAUCAGUGUUUCCAUGAAGUUAAAAAUAAAAGAACCCUAGCGACCAUCAGACCAUAAUAACUUAAUUUAUGCAAAAAAUAAUAUCACAGAAGGUAUUCCAAAGUUUGUCUAUGGAUGCAAAUGAAGCAAAGUAGAAAUAAAGGUAGCACCUCCUGUAGCUGUGUUCAUUCUGUAAAGCCUGGAUCUGACGAGCCUUGCUGUUCUAUCUGUGUGGCAUUUAGAUUACAUGUGGAGAGUCGGGCUCUAAGGCACAAAAAGAGAAACUCAUACAAAUCUGAACUUGGUCCAUGGCCCACAUGCGGUUACAUCAAUCAGCACAGUCUUCCUGAGGGCGCUCCCAAGCUGGGAACAAAUUCUUCACGCUCCGAGGGAGUUGCCUCCACUACUAACAGAGUGGGAAGGAAACCGAGCCAGGGUGUCACAAAAAGCCCAGGGAAGCUCAGAGCUGGGUUGCCACAUCGAGGAAACGACGUCUACACGUUUCACCAUGAUCCUGAUCCUUCACACUACAUGCAGCAGUACAGGUCUCAGUUUACGGACAAGAAGCUUGAAGCAUAUGGUAGAAGGCCAGCAUCCUGUAAGGGCCAGCUUCUUCGACCAGCUGCAGUGACAGCUUUCGACUCAUACAAGCUGUUUGGUGAAUAUGUCUACACAAAAGUGGAGGAGCUUCCAGAGAGUAUAGUUCCGAGGAGAAGACCUGUAGUGUCUACGCUGCAGGAGCAAUACUUCAGACCGCGGUGUCGUCCCUCCAUACCAAGCAAUGCACACGGAAGAGUGCAUCCCACCUCUCUGCCCAGCUUUAUACACAAAGGUAGUCCACCAGGGGGCGGCCUGAGCAGAGGCAGAUCCCGUUCAUCCCGGGAUGAUCCCAGAAAUCUUGUCAACCCCCUGCUGCUGUUUUAUGAGAACAGGUACAAACCUCCUAGAUAUUAGAUGCUACGUUGAUCAGACACCUGCAAAUGUUUGUGCAAUACGAUGGAUAUGCUCACUAUCUUUUCUCUGCACGAGAGAGUAAUCUAGCUGCCAAUGGAUUCACUGUGCCAAACUAUAGAGAUGGUAUAUAUAUUUAGUCGCUAUUGUGUGUGUUGUAAUAACAUACGGAGCUUUCUUUAGUAGUAUAAAAUAAUCAUAGCAGAUAUUCAUCAGCAUUUUAUGCUCCCAGAUAUUUUUUACAGGCAGUUUAAUUGAUAAAAACAUUUUCAAUUUGUCAUGAAAGGAAACAUAUUAGGUAAUGUUUUUGCUUUCUUGUUUUCAUAUACAGGUGUAUUAUAUUUGAUAGUUCAUAAUACUCAGUACCUAAAACUAAAACUAAAACUACAGCUUGAAAAAUACUACAUUUUUAUAUGUUAUAUGUAGAUAUUGUAAUUACAUUGGGUUCCCGUUCCAUGAACAUCUAUAUAACGUAUUCGUAAUACGGAAAGUAGGAAGUAUAUGAACUGAUGACCAGAUACUCUUACCGCAGUUGUAGAGGAAAAAUUCGCAUUUUAUACGUUUGAGAAGUCGAAAGUCGACAUUCGUGAAACUUGUGUAUAGUAUAUUUUUUCCUUUCUAAAAUAUAUGCACUAAACCGAUGA